GACGAACGCUGGCGGCGUGCUUAAUACAUGCAAGUCGAGCGAACAGACGACGAUCUUGCUCCUCUGACGUUAGACGCGGGCGGGAGAGUAACACGUGGUUAACCUACCUAUAAGAUUGGGAUAACUUACGGAAACCGGUACUAAUAACGGAUACUUUCUUGAACCGCGUGGUUGGAUAGUGAAAGCCGGUUUUGCUGUACCUUCUACAUGGAUCCGUGCGGCAUUAGCGAGUUGGUAAGGUAACGGCUUACCGAGGCAAGCAUGCGUAGCCGACCUGAGAGGGUGUACGGCGACACAGGGAGUGAGACGCGACACAGAGUCCGACGGGAGGCAGCAGCAGGGAAGGGACCGAAAUGGGCGAAAGCCUGACGGAGCGGCGCAGCGUGAGUGAUGAAGGUCUGCGGGUCGGAUGACGGUGUUAGGAGGGAAGAACGAAUGUGUAAGUAGCGAUGCACGUCUUGACGGUACCUGAACAGAAAGCCACGGCUAACUACGUG
rnacentral:rRNA from 1 species